UUAUCCAAUGCCGGCGCCGUGGCUCAAUAGGCUAAUCCUCCACCUUGCGGCGCCGGCACACCGGGUUCUAGUCCCGGUCGGGGCGCCGGAUUCUGUCCCGGUUGCCCCUCUUCCAGGCCAGCUCUCUGCUAUGGCCAGGGAGUGCAGUGGAGGAUGGCCCAGGUGCUUGGGCCCUGCACCCCAUGGGAGACCAGGAAAAGCACCUGGAUCCUGGCUCCUGCCAUCGGAUCAGCGUGGUGCGCCGGCUGCAGCGGCGGCCAUUGGAGGGUGAACCAACGGCAAGGGAAGACCUUUCUCUCUCUGUCUCUCUCUCUCACUGUCCACUCUGCCUGUCAAAAAAAAAAAAAAUAUUAUCCAAUGUUCUUAUAAACUACGUUUUAUGACUGAGGUCACUAACCUAUUAGAAUCAGUAUGUGAAUAAUUUGUUCAAUACUGGUAAACAAGAGUUACGUAUCUGAAGUCUUCUCAGAGCCCAGACACACAGAGCAAAGGAAACAGCUGCUUCUGUCCGGAGGUUCCAGUGUGUUAACAGGUGAUUGCACUGCAGCACAGGAAGUUCUAGAAGGCGCCGCGGGAGUGUGCCCGGGCAGCCCGCCAGUCGGCUCAGCGCAGUCAGGGCAUGCUGUCGAGCAAUGAGCUAGAUUUUGUGAGUGUUUGCUAGGCAAAGGGGAAAUGGGGUUCUAGACAGGAGCAGUGACUGAUUGAACUGCACAGGCUAACACGGGAUUAGGAUGGCUGGUGAGAGACCCAUGUUUGAAUGACUGGAGAUGAAGCUGAAGAUCACAUGGGCCUGGGAACAAAUUGUGAAGCUCAUUGCGUGCUGUGCCGAGGAGUCUAGACUUGACCCGCCAUGCUGAGAGUCUAAACUUGGCCCACCAUGCCGAGGAGUCUAGACUUGGCCCGCCAUGCCGAGGAGUCUAGACUUGACCCGCCAUGCCGAGGAGUCUAGACUUGGCCCGCCAUGCCGAGAGUCUAGACUUGACCCGCCAUGCCGAGGAGUCUAGACUGGACCCGCCAUGCCGAGGAGUCUAGACUUGGCCCACCAUGCCGAGGAGUCUAGACUGGACCCGCCAUGCCGAGGAGUCUAGACUGGACCCGCCAUGCCGAGGAGUCUAGACUUGGCCCGCCAUGCCGAGGAGUCUAGACUGGACCCGCCAUGCCGAGGAGUCUAGACUUGGCCCGCCAUGCCGAGGAGUCUAGACUUGGCCCGCCAUGCCGAGGAGUCUAGACUGGACCCGCCAUGCCGAGGAGUCUAGACUGGACCCGCCAUGCCGAGAGUCUAGACUUGGCCCGCCAUGCCGAGGAGUCUAGACUUGGCCCGCCAUGCCGAGGAGUCUAGACUGGACCCGCCAUGCUGAGAAGUCUAGACUUGGCCCGCCAUGCUGAGGAGUCUAGACUUGACCCGCCAUGCCGAGGAGUCUAGACUGGACCCGCCAUGCCGAGGAGUCUAGACUUGGCCCGCCAUGCCGAGGAGUCUAGACUUGGCCCGCCAUGCCGAGGAGUCUAGACUGGACCCGCCAUGCCGAGGAGUCUAGACUUGGCCCGCCAUGCCGAGGAGUCUAGACUUGGCCCGCAGGCGGUGGAGAACCCACUGAGGCUUUGUUGAUCGCCUCCUUGCAGGUCUCUAGAAGAAUACAGCAAAUACCAUUGAAGGCCCGCGUUGUUCCUGGAGGUGUAUCAGAUGCUUACAGACAUCAUGAGUCCGCGCCAUAGAGAAAAGUUAGAUGGUCAGAAAAUACUGAUCAUUUAAAUUUUUUUCUAAAAUCAGAGAUUCUUGUUGUUAGUUUUUGAAUUUUUGUUGAAUAAAAGAAUGAAUUUUAGAUUAAUUUUUGUCUCAAUAUUCUUAGAAUGUCGAGGAGAGUCCAGUCAAAAGGUACUGUCCUUAUGAGCUGAAUAUGCCUUACUUGUAUCGGAAUCCCACUUUGAAAAGACUUGUAAGAAAGAAAUUGUGACUUAUUAGAGCAAAUUUGACACAAUGUUUGGAUACCUUCUGUACAAAUAUGCACAAUGUCUUUUUCUGGUGAAAAGCAAGCCUUUUAUGGCAUGUUAGGUCUUUUACCUUGGAACAAGUGCCUGCCUGGUCGUUGAUAGACUGAACUGAGUGAAGCUGUAGCAGAUAUUACAGUUGUUUGCCACGGCCGUUGCAUGGUCAUGUUGUCACCUGUGUCGUUGCUACUUUUCUGUUUGCCAUGUCCUUGGGCACCCCUCUCCGCAGGCUGUGUGCAUCGGCCAAGGGGAGCAUCCUUGUGCUCCAAGCCCCUUGGAGCAGCGAGGGUGAACGGGGCCCUGGCAGGAAUCCGGCAUGUGUGGGGCUUAAGGACUAGCCAUCAUCUUAACUACCAACAUUCUGCUUUCCCAGCGUAGUGUGCUUUGCUGAAGGCUCGUGGCAGUGGCUUCAAAUACAGUUACUUCUUCCAAAUCACUGGAAAUCUGAGAUCAGAAAUACCAGAAGGGUUAGACUCAGUUCUUCCCCGUGAACUCACUGAUAAUGCAUGCCGGUAGCAUUUGACUAUUCCAGAAAACCUCUGCAGUGGAGUAAAAAUGAAGAAAAGAAGCCCUGACUUUGUGUACAUUUGCUGUUUUGCAAUCCAGCUUGUUAUAAAAAUGUUAACCUAAUUUCCUAAUGGAAAGGGGGGGAUAUAAAUACCUUCUUUCAUGACUGGCUUCUUUUAUUCCUUAAAAUAGAUCUUGUGUUCUCUUUCAAUCAUGUAUGUUUUUCUAGGUUCAGCUACUAGCUCCCUAGAGAAGUCCUGCACCCGCCCCACCCCACCCUACCCAAAUUCACAUCGUAUCACUAAUGAUAGAAAGGUUUUUUAAAUGGCUCACUGGAGGGUCAGCACCCGCCCUCUGCUGUCACUAGGAGAACCGACAUCGAGUGCCUAAUUCUGUAAUGGGGGAAGGGAGACAGUACCUUGUGCCCGCAGUGUUUGAAACUUUUUCCCCUUAAUGUUUGCUGUAUUUAUUUAGCCUAUAAUUGAACACACCGUCAUUUUGCUGUGCUGCAGAUCGUCUACGUGGGAGUCAGGAUGCAUAUUUAAUGCCUGAUUUAAAAAGAAAAAUAGAUGCAGUGACAUGUGGGCGAUUUUAGGAAAGUGUGUUCUGUGCAGAUUCAAAUAAAGGUUGGGGAGAAACUGGUUUUCUUCUUCUUAGAGAAGACGUGAUAUUUCACAGCAGGCAUUAUUAUAGACCGUAUUUAUUAAGUGAUGAGCAGUUGUUUUUUCCUUUGCACUUUUAGUGACAAAUCCAAAUGGCAGUAAAGAAUCCCUACUUCCUUGGAGCACACCUCUUUCCUUCCUCCUUUAUCCCUCGCUAACAAAGGCCCUAAACGGUUUUGGCUAAAAGAUAAAAACAUGUGGCUCCAUCUCUAAAGGAAAGAAAGCCAGCGGCAAUGUUCUCUGGAACACAGAAGCCUGUACGUGGAGGGAGCUGGGUGUCAAAGAGCACUUGGUACCAUGGUUUAGGGGGACGUGAUUUAUUCCGCCCAGGUAGCAGGGUGGAAAGAACCAGCAGGUGCCCCAGUCCUUUGCAGGGGCCCCAUGGUACCCCUAGAAAGCUCUGCUAAAGUGGGUGUACUUGCAGUCACACCCUAUAGGAGCUUCUGUGUGUUUUAAGAAAAAACCUUUGAAUUCUGCGCAACUGCUACCAGUUGAACAGUGAUAUUUAUUUUGGGUGUCCUGGCCCCAGCUUAGUGAAGAGGUAAGAGAGGGGGUGAAAAGUUUCAGUACAUUCACCCAGUGUAUACUUUUAUUUCGUCUUUGAAACUUUACUUUCUGAAGAAAGUAGGUACAGUUUUUACUUUGGGACACAGAGUUCUUAGGAAAUUCAAACUGUUAUGUGUUGGUUGAGUACCUGCUUAUCAGCCUACCUCUUGAUGGGGUUUAGCAUUCUAAAUGCGUAACUGUCUCAUGUCCCCUCCAUUCAGAGACGGCUGUCUGUCCUCUCAGCUUCCAGCCGACACUGAGUUGUGCCUUGGGUUUCUUCCAGUCCAGGGCCUCUCACCACCUUCUUUUUCUUUUUUGUCCUUUUUUCUUCUUCCAAAUAGCUCAUAUUUUGCUUUUUUAAAUUUUCAAAAAAAUAUUAUUUUUAUUUAUUUGAGAGGCUGAGUGAGUGAGUGAGAGAAAGAGAGAGAGAAAAGAAUCUUCCAUUCUCUGGUUUACUCCCUAAAUGGCUACAAGGGCCUGGGGCUGGGCCAAGCCAGAGCCAGGAGCCAGGAGCCAGGAGCUUCUUCCAUUCUCUUCAUGGGCCCUCCUCCACUGUUUUCUCAGGGCAUCAUCAGGGAGAUGGACUGGAAGUGGAGCAGCCAGGACUCAAUCCAGCACCCGUUUGGGGCGCCACUCCCUAAUUAUGCUUUUAAUAGAGAUGCACACAACUGCACAUUCUUACCCAAAUCAGGGUUUUUCUAUUCCAGAUAAAUGAUUUUUUUACUCUUGCCAGAUUUUUAUAUCUUGGUCAGAUUCUUUCUUCUGUGACCAUUUUAAAAUCGUCAGCUGAAAUAGAACAGGUAAGAAAUGAGGUUGACUGCCUUGAGGGUAGGACGUGAAUUAGUCUCCAGUAGUCCCUGAAGCACUGUUUGGAAGAACGGCUGGAACGCGGUCUCUCCGUGGGACUGGGUGCUGCUUGCUCUCCGAGGUCUAGGCCCUGCACAGGCCAGUGCGGGUGAGCAGGAGUCAGGCUCCCAUGGCAGUGCCCUCCCUCCCGGGACUGGCCAGUUCACAGUAGUCUAAGGAACACACACCUGUUCCCUCACUCUGAAACAGAGCUGGCUGAAACCUGGGCGGAUUGUUUGAAGCCGUGAAUGCCCCAUUUCUCCCCCUCAGGGAGGAUGGUAACGUUUGCCUCCCGCUCUUGCUGCUCGGAACAUCGGGAGAGAACUUGUAGAGAAUUUUGUGUGAUGUGAAGGAAUGCUAACGUAGAAAAACAUGACAGUAAACAUUGUAGAUGAAAAAUCACUAAGAAAGUGCGCAUAAGAGUUACUGGUAAUUUAGUUAAAUCCGUAUCACGGGUGGGAUUACCCACAGCAGUCAGGGCAUGGAUGCUUACGCUCCUGAAGGGUAGCCCCCGAACACCAUUGAAAACAAGAUGACAUGGAAUGAGCUGUAAAAACUUGAAAUAUUGCAAGAUCCCCACUGUGGCUGACUAAAUGAGACACGCUUCAGUACAGGGGAAGAAAGCAACUUAGAGGUGUCUCAAGAAUUACGUGCAGGUAAUGGAGACUUUAGAUGCUUUUUUCCUUAUUGAUCAUUCACAGAACUUGGGGCAUCCUAGCUAGAUUGACAGCUGAGUUAUUUGCCCAUCACUAGUGACUGACAGCAGGUAAUGGGAAGGCUUUUACCACGACAUAACACACACACGGUUUCCUAAUUUACUACGCUAGUUCUCAUCAAAAGUAACCUGGUAAAAAAACACUAGAUUUAUCACUUCAGUUCCUGGAGUUUCACUUGUCCUUUAAGGAGACAUGUUUCUGCAAUGCGACAGGCUUUGCAGAUUUUGAACUUCUUCACACAUCACAGCCAUCGGGUAAUUGGAGAGAGAGAUAAAUGAAAACAAUUGCCACAGUUUUAUAACAAUGGCAUCUACUAGCAAGAAAUAAAAUGGACAAUAAUAUGAUCAUCUGGCUAGAUAUGUUUUAAAGAGCCUUUUUUGUCAAGUUAUAAAAAUAGUUUUAACAAUCUGAAAAUGGACAAGAACUGUAUUUAAGUCUUCACAGUGUAAUAUGAAUAAAUUUUUGGUGUUAGUGCUCGUGUAUUAAGUGGAUGUAAUUUCACAUCUACCACAUUUUCUAUAUGUGGUAGAAGGAUACUUUGUAGCCUUGCAGGUAGUUCACUCACUUUUUAAGGGCUCACUUUUUAUGUGCUGUGAGUCACAUUAAGGGAAAUGCGAAAGUUCUUUUCCAUGUACCCUUGUAAGAGGACUAGAAAACCACUAAUUUUUUUUCAAUGUAUUUAUUUAUUUGAAAGGCAGAAUUACAGACAGGCAGAGUCAGAGCGUGAGAGAGCAAGCGAGAGCGAGAGCGAGAGCUUCCAUCCGCUGGUUCACUCCCCCAAAUGGCUGCAGUGGCUGGAGCUGUGCCAAUCUGAAGCCAGGAGUCAGGAGCUUCUUCCGAGUCUCCCAUGCAGGUGAAGGGGCCCAAGGACUUGGGCCAUCUUCUAUUGCUUUCCCAGGCAUUGGCAGAGAGCUGGAUGGGAAGUAGAGCAGCCAGGCCUUGAACCAGCACCCAUAUUGGAUGCUGGCACUGCAGGCGACAGCUCUACCCAUUAUGCCACAGUGCUUGACCCAAGAACUGCUAAUUUUAGAGGGGGAAAUUGACAGAACUAAAGUUUUCUGCAUUUUGUAUGGAGUAGCCUAGAAAUAGUACGGGUUGGACAUCCCUUUUCCAAAAUGCUUGGGACCAGAAGUGUUUUGGAUUUUUCCAGGCUUUGGAAUAUUUUAUAUAAGGAGAUAGAUUGACGAUAGAACCCAAGUCUAAACGCAAAAUCCAUGUUUCAUGUAUACCCUACACAUGCAGCCUGAAGAUAGUUUUAUACAAUAGUUUUAGCCCACCUGUGUUUUGACUGCAACUGUAAAAUGAGAUCAGAUGUGCUAUUUUCCCCUUACGGAAUCAUGUUGGUGCUCAAAAAGUGUCAUGUUUUGGAACACUUGAGAUUUAGGGUUUUAGAAGUAGGGAUGGUCAUCUUGUAUCCAGCAACCACCCAGUCACAUGGUGAUUGAUGAAGUCAGGCUGGUACAAAACUCGUCAUUUUGAAGAACUGGUAAGCCUCUUAUCUGGGCUUCCACAAAUGCACAUGACCAAUCUUUAGCUCAUGCGCCAAUCGGCGCCCUCUCCACCUUCCACAAGGCCCAGCGGUGCAGGCCGCCAGCGCCUCUCGGCCGCAGCACCGGCCUCGCUCUGCUCUUGCUGGUUUGCAGCAGCCAGAGUGACCGGGCCCCUGGAACAGCCGCUCCUGUCUGCCCCGUCUAGCAGUGGUCACUGGCAAAGUGUGGCUAGGAUGACUGGGGACUUGAGCUCUUUAGUUUAAUUAAUUAAAGCAAAACUUGGCUAUGUGGAGGGCUUAGUUCUGAAGCACAGCACGGCCGUUCCUUCUUUCCUGCUCAGGACACCCGCAGUAAACGCUCGCACAGCCCGGGUGUGGCUGCCAGCGCUCCUCUCCUCCUUUCUGUCUCUGCCCGUUCUCUCCAGCCAUGCAGACUCCUUGCAGGUGCUGUGCAUACCGUCAGCUCCCACCCCAGUGCCUUUGCUGGCCCUUCCUGCUCGGGGGCCCCGGCGUCCGCUCCCUCGUCCAUGUCCAGUCGUGGCUGUCAGCUUUCUCCCAAACCUUCUCUGCCAGCCUGUGCGAAGUGGCAGCGUCCCCUCCACGCCCCGGAUGGGGCUGCCGCUCAGCGGAGUAAACAGGAUCGAUGAAAUCUGAUGAGGGAGUGACAUUUCACCAGAACUGGAGCCAGGCUGUGGGCAGAGUUCUUGGCUAAUCCUCAAAACGUAUCUGAAAUCAGGUGAAACACUUUUUUAUCUUGGUUACGCAAUUUGUGCUCCUCUGCUCCUGGGAUAGAAGCUCCGUCAGGUCAGAGGUUGUUCACUGCUCGGCCUGUCCUCAGAUCAGAAAGGUGUCUGGCACAUCCCCCGUGUCUAAGGAAGCUCCAGCAACUACUGAAUAUAUGGAGACACAGCAUUAUGACUGCCCUAGCGAAAGGGCCACUAGGCAAACUGUAAUUGAAUUUUGAAAAAAAUGCUGUAAAAGCUAUGGGUUGGUAGUUUAAUCCGUAUCAGACUAUGAUAAAUCAGAAAGAAGAAAACUCCUUUUCAGUGUAAUUGAUAAUGAGAUAAUAUAAUUAUUUGAACAACAUAAUUAAUAUGAUGGAACUUUAGGUAGGUAACUUGGAAUUAUUUAAACACAGCAUUAACAUUAUCAAGUUUCUGUGAAAAAUGUACUCUUGGAAAAGAAACUGGAAAUUACUAAGUCAUGCUCUCUGAUUGUAAUAUGAUAAACAACAGAAAUGUAAAGAAGAGCCCAGCACCUGUAAAUAUUAAAAUAGUUUCCCACAUCAUGGAAGGAAAACGGGUAGCUCACGAAUACAGAUGCAGACUGUUUCAAAAGUAUUGAGAAAAAUGUCGUAUUAGACCCUCUAGGACUUGUCCAACAUUGAACUCGACAGUCUAAAUUCAGUCUAAAGUUCUCUUAUAAAUGAAAAAGGAUGAAAGUGUGCAGAAUUAUUUAGAUUAGCAAUCUAAAAAUACUGUAACAAAGAUGUAAUAAAUUAGUAAAAUAACAACUGAAACAAAUGAUCUAGAAAACU